rnacentral:lncRNA from 1 species
UUUACUGUUAAACUAGAGGCUCUAAAGAGCCUGUGUCGCUCACCUUGGUCUAUGUGAAUAUUCAACAAAGGACACAGAUGGAUUCAUGACAAAAUUGUGUUUUGGUGAUGGCGAUGUGUUUGUAGAUCUUACUUUAUUGAACAUUCUUGCUGCUUACAAUUAUCUCUAUCUAUAAUGAUUGGCCCAGUAGUUUCAGUGGAAAAUGUUAGUAAAAUUUACAAAGUUUAUGAAAAUUGUUAAAAAUUGACUAUAAAGGACAAUAACUCCUUAGGGGGUCAAUUGUCCAUUUCAAUCAUGUUGACUUAUUUGUAAAUCUUACUUUGCUGAACAUUAUAGCUGUUUACAGUUUAUCUCUAUCUAUAAAAUAACCAAAAACAGCAAAAUUUCCUUAAAGUUACCAAUUCAGGGGCAGCAACCCAACAAUGGGUUGUCCAAUUCAUCUGAAAAGAUAGAUCUUGACCUGAUUAACAAUUUUACCCCGUCAGAUUUGCUCUAAAUGCUUUGGUUUUUGAGUUAUAAGCCAAAAACUGCAUUUUACCCCUAUGUUCUAUUUUUAGCCGUGGCGGCCAUCUUGGUUGGAUGGCCGGGUCACCGGACACAUUUUUAAAACUAAAUACCCCAAAAAUGAUUGUGGCCAAGUUUGGAUUAAUUUAACCCAGUAGUUUCAGAGGAGAAGAUUUUUUGUAAAAGAUUACUAAGAUUUACGAAAAAUGGUUAAAAAUUGACUAUAAAGGGCAAUAACUCCUAAAGGGGUCAACUGACCAUUUCGGUCAUGUUGACUUAUUUGUAAAUCUUACUUUGCUGAACAUUAUUGCUGUUUACAGUUUAUCUCUAUCUAUAAUAAUAUUCAAG